UACGAAGGGGGCUAGCGUUGUUCGGAAUUACUGGGCGUAAAGCGCACGUAGGCGGAUACUUAAGUUAGGGGUGAAAUCCCGGGGCUCAACCCCGGAACUGCCUUUAAUACUGGGUAUCUCGAGUUCGAGAGAGGUGAGUGGAAUUCCGAGUGUAGAGGUGAAAUUCGUAGAUAUUCGCAAGAACACCAGUGGCGAAGGCGGCUCACUGGCCCGGAACUGACGCUGAGGUGCGAAAGCGUGGGGAGCAAACAGG
rnacentral:rRNA from 1 species